AGCUAAAAACUUAGCCUUACCCUACAAUUAUAUUUACCUUAUUUUACUUACACAAAAUAAAACAUUCUUUAAGCUUAGUAAAGGAGAUAAAAAAGUUUUUUAGAGCUAUAAAAUAAGUACCGCAAGGGAAAAAUGAAAUAAAAAUGAAACAAAAUUCAAGCAUAAUAUAGUAGAGCUUUCCCCUCGUACCUUUUGCAUCAUGAUUCAACUAGUUUAACCACGCAAAAAGAAUUUAAGUUUGACUUCCCGAAACUAAGUGAGCUACUUCAGGGCAGCUAAAUGAGCCAACCCGUCUCUGUUGCAAAAGAGUGGGAUGACCCUUAAGUAGAGGUGAUAAACCUAACGAACUUAGUAAUAGCUGGUUAUUCAGGAAAAGAAUUUUAGUUCAACUUAAAAUUACAUAAAUAAAAUAAAAUAAAAUUUUAAUUUUAAAGCAAUUCAAAUAAGGUACAGCCUAUUUGAAAUAGAAUACAAUCUAAACUAUAGGGUAAAUAUAAAAAAUUAAUGUAAUAAAGUAGGCCUAAAAGCAGCCAACUUUAAAAUAGCGUCAAAGCUUAAUUCCAUAAUUUUUUAAUACUAUUAUUUACAAUGAACCCUUUAUUUUUACUGAAUAUUUCUAUAAAGUUAUAGAACCUUUUAUGUUGAAACUAGUAACAAGAAGUUAAACUUCUCCUCAAUAUAAGUAUAAGUCGACUAGGAUAAACCAUCGACAAUUAACGCUUAAAUUAAAUGUAUUAACUCCACAAGAAAAACUUACAUUAUCCCACGUUAAUCUUACACCAGAACAUUUAAGGAAAGAUUUAAAAAAAAGGAAGGAACUCGGCAAACAUUAACCCCGCCUGUUUACCAAAAACAUCGCCUUCUGAUAUAUUAUAGAAGGUCCAGCCUGCCCAGUGAAUUAAUUUAACGGCCGCGGUAUCCUAACCGUGCGAAGGUAGCGUAAUCACUUGUUCUUUAAAUGAGGACUAGUAUGAAUGGCACCACGAAGGUUAUACUGUCUCCCUUUUUUGAUCAGUUAAACUAAUCUUCACGUGAAGAAGCGUGAAUAAACAUAUAAGACGAGAAGACCCUAUGGAGCUUAAAAUUACACAACAAUUGUUAAAAAAUCCUAAAUUUUAUGAAUAAUUUUUUACUAAACACCAUGAUUGCUAAUUUUUGGUUGGGGUGACCGCGGAGUAAAAAUUAACCUCCACAAUGAAAGAAAUCAAUAUUCUAAACUAAGAGCUACAACUCAAAGUAUUAAUAUUUUAACAUUCUUUGAUCCAAUAUUUGAUCAACGAACAAAGUUACCCUAGGGAUAACAGCGCAAUCUACUUUGAGAGCUCCUAUCGACAAGUAGGUUUACGACCUCGAUGUUGGAUCAGGGUAUCCUAGUGGUGCA
rnacentral:rRNA from 1 species